rnacentral:lncRNA from 1 species
CCUUCAACGCACUCAUCAAUGAAGGUAAAAGAGCGGGUUUGAAGCCCGUCUCCCCACAUCUCAAACCUAUCUGUGGAGGUGAGAGCCUUUCUACAGAAAGCAGCUGGAGCCUUCUCCCUUCCACCUUAAGUGAUCAAUUUGUACAGCAAAUAUUAAUCCCAAUGGUACAAAAUUAAUCGUUUGCACAAAGUCUGGAAACUGUUUAUCUGUUUGUUUACCUUUCCAUGUUCCAAAAGGACCAUAAAUGUUAUGGAACCUUCCAAUGCGGCACUCAAUUCCAAAAUCUUUGUUGUAAUGCUUGCACAACUCCUCUGUUGCAAGUUUCUCCAAACCAUAAGCAUCUUGAGGCUAUAUAACACAUUAGAAAUCGCAUAAGAAAGACUUGUAAUCUUUAGCAAGAACAUAUAAAUGAUAAUCAAAACAGUGACACAAACCUCUGCAGGCCAAGCAUCUGACUCCUUCAAGCUCACAUUAGUAGUCUCCAACUGCUUGAACUCCGGGUAAAUACAAGCACUAGAAGCAUAGAAGAACCUGAAACACACAAGAGAAAAAAAGUUCCAAUCUUUUAACAUGUUUAUAAAACAAACCAGAAAGCUCAACAAACCGAAGAAACA